rnacentral:rRNA from 1 species
UUAAGCUACAAAGGGCGUAGGGUGAAUGCCUUGGCAUCAAGAGCCGAUGAAGGACGUGAUAAGCUGCGAUAAGCUAUGGGUAGGAGCAAAUAUCCACUAAUCCAUAGAUCUCCGAAUGAGGAAACUCAACUAGUAACAAUAUACUAGUUAUCCAUACAUGAGUAAAGUAGUGUAUGAGAAGGGAACGUGGGGAACUGAAACAUCUUAGUACCCACAGGAAAAGAAAGAAAUUAUUCGAUUCCUAGAGUAGUGGCGAGCGAAAUAGGAAGAGCCCAAACUGUAAGUAGUAAUACAUACAGGGUUCGGACUGCAUAAUCGAUUUAAUGAGUUUAGUAGAAGUGUUUUGGAAAAGCACACCAUAGAUGGUGAAAGUCCAGUAUGCGAAAAGCGAGUUAACGAGGCAGUAUCCAGAGUAGCACGAGGCACGUGGAAUCUCGUGUGAAUGUGUGGGGACCAUCCCAUAAGGCUAAAUACUACUUGAUGACCGAUAGUGAACGAGUACCGUGAGGGAAAGGUGAAAAGAACCCCGGGAGGGGAGUGAAAUAGAAUUUGAAACCCUAUGUUUACAAGCAGACAAAGCACGUUAAGGUGCGAUGUCGUACUUUUUGUAGAACGGUCCAGCGAGUUAUUGUAUAUGGCAAGGUUAAAUACUAAGUAAGGUAUGGAGCCGAAGCGAAAGCGAGUGUUAAUAGCGCGUUUAAGUCAUAUGUAAUAGACCCGAAACCGAGUGACCUAUCCAUGGUCAGGAUGAAGCUAGAGUAAAAUCUAGUGGAGGUCCGAACUGAUUGUCGUUAAAAAGGCACCGGAUGAACUGUGGAUAGCGGAGAAAUUCCAAUCGAACUCGGAGAUAGCUGGUUCUCCUCGAAAUAGCUUUAGGGCUAGCCUUGAGGUAAAGACGUAUGGGGGUAGAGCACUGAAUGAGCUAGGGGCCUAACCAGGUUACUGAACUCUAUCAAACUACGAAUACCAUAUUGUUAUACUCAGGAGUCAGACUGCGGGAGCUAAGUUCCGUGGUCAAAAGGGAAAGAGCCCAGAUCGUCAAUUAAGGUCCCAAAGAUAUAGCUAAGUGGAAAACGAUGUGAUUUUGCGUAAACAACCAGGAUGUUGGCUCAGAAGCAGCCACUCAUUCAAAGAGUGCGUAACAGCUCACUGGUCGAGUGAAUUUGCGCGGAAAAUUACCGGGGCUAAACUAUACACCGAAAUUUCGGAUUUACGUAUGAAAAUAUGUAAGUGGUAGAGGAGCAUUCUGUAGUAGGACGAAGUCAAAGCGAAAGCAUUGGUGGACGAGGCAGAAGAGAGAAUGCUGGAAUAAGUAGCGAGAGCAAGGUGAGAAUCCUUGCCGUCGAAAGUCUAAGGUUUCCUGGGGAAGGUUCGUCCGCCCAGGGUUAGUCGGGACCUAAGGAGAGGCCGAGAGGCGUAUCUGAUGGACAGCAGGUUGAUAUUCCUGCACUAUAGAUAUACUUAAAAGAUGCAAGGGACGCAGAAGUGGAAGGAAUGCGAGGAAGAGGAAAAACUCGUAUCGAAAGAUAUAGUGAAAAUAAAGUAACGAAUUUCCAAGAAGCACGCUGACGAGAAAAGCUUGUAGAUAUUGUAUAUAAAUACCCGUACCGCAAACCGACACAGGUAGAUGAGGAGAGGAUCCUAAGACGAGCGGGAGAAGCAUUGUUAAGGAACUCGGCAAAUUGACCCCGUAACUUCGGAAUAAGGGGUGCCUAUGUAAAAGUAGGCCGCAGAGAAUAGGCCCAAGCAACUGUUUAACAAAAACACAGGUUUCUGCUAAAUCGAAAGAUGAAGUAUAGGAGCUGACGCCUGCCCAGUGCUGGAAGGUUAAGGGGAAGAGUUAAGACUUGAUCUGAAGCUUAGAACCAAAGCCCCAGUGAACGGCGGCCGUAACUAUAACGGUCCUAAGGUAGCGAAAUUCCUUGUCAGGUAAGUUCUGACCCGC